GGAUAUCCGCCCUCAAACGAUAUUUUCACCUAUGCUCUACUACCGUUUUUCAUCACCUUUUUAUCAACAAUACAUCACUGCUGAUGGUUUUCUCCCCAGCUUCUCAUGGUCACUUAUCUCUUUUUCUGAACUUCUACACUCUUUCAUUUGGAUUCUUGGUCAACCUUCUCGAUGGAGGCCUAUAUCUCGGACAGUAUUCCUAGAAAGAUUACCGGAAGACGAAGAAUUACCUCCAAUAGAUGCACUGCAGAUCCAAACAAAGAACCAACUAUAGGAGUGUUGAACACAGUGAUAUCAGCUAUGUCUUUAGACUACCCUUCUGAAAAGCUCUUUGUGUAUGUGUCCGAUGAUGGGGGUGCACCUAUUACUUUGUUUGGUAUGAUAGAAGCUUAUAGUUUUGCUAAACAAGGGAUUCCUUUUUGUAAGAAAUAUGGAAUAAAAACAAGAGCUCCAGAUGCUCAUUUCUCGCAAUCAGAUCAUCAAAAGGAAAAUGGUUCAAUGAGUAAUGAAUUUGCUGAAAUUAAUUCGAAAGGAAAUGGAGGUGAGCUAACAUUUCGAUCUUAUCGCGUACUCUUACAGUGCAUCAUAAAAUUUAGUUACUUUUACUGUUUUACACGUCUAAUUAACAAGAUUCAAUCCAGGUUAGGUAUCAAGUGUUUAAGCAACGGGUGCAGAAAGCAAGAUCAAGUGGUGCUGCAAGCUUAUCUUCUGGUUCAGAUCGACCUCCUAUUAUCGACGUAAAUUAAGUUUAAUUUGGUGGUAUUGACAUGUUUACAGUAUAUUGAUUUAGGCAAAUUAGAUUUUGUGGACUUGCUGACCCUGAAUUCGAUUAUGGCAGGUCAUACAAAAUGAUGCAGUCGAUGGUGAAGUAAAAGAAAAUGAUCAAGCCAAGGUGGCUCUUCUAAUUUAUGUUUCGCGUGAAGAAAGACCAACUCAUCCACACCAUUUCAAACCAGGAGCUCUUAAUGCCCUUGUAUGUUUAAUUGUUUAUAUUUAUUCCUCUCCCUUCUAGUGUUCUACGACACAUUAUGAUGUACUGGUCACUUCGAUCAGCAUGACGUACUGGUAUUAAUUAACGACCAAUAACCUCUUGACGCAUGUCCUUGUUGCAGCUUCGUGUGUCAGGCAUAAUAAGCAAUUCUCCAUACAUGUUGGUCUUAGAUUGUGAUAUGAAUUGCAGUGACCCAACCUCUGCUAGACAAGCUAUGUGUUUCCACAUUGAUCCUGACAUCUCUCCCUCGUUGGCUUUUGUUCAAUUUCCUCAACUGUUCCAUAAUCUCAGUAAGAAUGACAUCUAUAAUGAUCUAUUGAGAACCGGAUGUGAGGUAUAUCUACGUUAAACGAGUCUUGUAUAGCUAAUUAACGUCUCAGAGUCGGGAUAAUCUAGGUUAUUAAAACUGUUCUGAUUAUAUUUGCAAUCGGACGUCGUUAUAUUUCAGGUGCAGUGGUAUGGUCUGGAUGGCCUACGGGGGCCACUUUUAUCUGGCACUGGCUUUUAUACGAAGAGAGAAGCUUUGUUUAGAAGUCCUACACAAAAAGGUUUAGCAAAAAACUUAGGGACGGGUUCCUUCUUCUACUGACUUAUGUAAAGUGUUUUUUUUUUUUUUUUUUUUGAUAAUUAAGUUUAACACCUUAUUAAAAUUAAAACUGUCAGAAACAAGUUACAAGAAGUUAACAUGGACAGUGAGAGAGACACUCACUCUCCUUGCAGGCCUAAUCAACUCUUUAUUGUGCAGAUCUAAGUCACAUUAGGAAUAGGCAAGAUGUCGGUUGUUCAAAUGACUUCAUCACAUCACUUCAUCCUGAUAACAAAGUUAAAGCAAUUAGCAAUAAUCAACAUGUAUCAAGCAGAUUGCUUGAAGAGGCCAGACUUCUGGCUUCUUGCACAUACGAGUAACAAACACAAUGGGGUGAACAGGUAAGUUAAUUUCCAAAUGAAUAAACAAACCAUCUCAUGUCAUUAUGACCCUAUCAGUAUUGUUCCAUCAAAAUUUUUAUAAGAAUGAGAAGUACGGACAAACUGAUUUAAGCUACAAGAUAAUAUUCAGCUCUCAUAUUAAAAAUGUGUUAGUAUCAUAAUAACUGAGCUGCAUAAGUGCUUCAGCUUAGGAUCUACAUAAAAAAUACGAAAUUCCAUCAGUAAUUACUUACUCUUUACCUAGUGUCUUACCUCUCUUUCUUUCUUAAUGGCGUUUUCUGAAAUAUCCAGACCUACAACAUAACGUUCAGGGCCAACAAUUGCAAUCACAUGAUGAUCUUGUUGGCUAUAAUAAGUAAGUACAAUAUAACGUGCAAACUAAUAAAACAUAAAAAUUAAACAAGUUUGUUGAACAGUUUUAAUUAGAGACCAAAUGUUGUUACAUGCGUGAAAACGCCACUUUCACUUAUAAAUGACCAUUGCAUCAAAAUGUCAUGUCAUCAGAUAAAAUUUUAACAUUUUGGAACAUGUACUCACAUGCUGAAACAAUAACAAACAUGUAAACACUUACAGUGUCACAUACUGGGAUUAGAACCCUGCCUUUUGGAAGAGGAAGAGCAGCUGGUUUGUAGAAGAUUUAAAAUAACAGGUGUUGGUCCUCGCAAAUCCCCAUAGUGUUCAGUGCUUUUUCCUAGCAUUAUUUGUCCCAGGCACCUAGUCAUUCAAACUUAAACAAAAUUCAGAAAUUCAAUAGUUGUAAUGGACAGAACGACUUAGAAAUUAAACACAAGUUUUCCUUUGAGCUUCCAAUGUAGUCAAUUAUGUUGAUGUAAAAAUCCAUUAAGGCCAUUAUGCUAUGCUUCUUGAAGCAGAUUUACAAACAUUCUACAAAUAAGUCAAAGUGUUGCAAGGUUUCUGUUACAUGUUCGAUAAUCUAAUUCUCACUGGUAUGAUUAUGUAUUCACAUUAUCACUUCAAAUUUUCAUCAUCAUCAUCAUCAUCAUCAUCAUACUCAAAUUAUCACAAAUAAGAUAUUGAAUUCCAUGGAAAUUGAAGAAUAUACAAUUAAAUUAAACAACAAUAAAAAGAAGAGUAGAGAUGAGAUGAGAUGAGAUAGUAAGGAGAGAGUGUCAGACCUGUUGAAUCAUUGUUAACGAAUUGGUUCAAGUUAGGUAGAUUUUAGUUGUUGUUGUUGUUCGAAAUCUUCUCUUGAUCUCUUCUCUUUCACUUUGUUUCCUCAUGCUCCUUCGUUCCAACCUAUUGCAAGUUGCAACAACAAAGAUUUUUCACUCUUGUUGUUGUUAAAUGUAAAUGAAGGAAACUGCAAUUGGAUUUGGAGAGCGAACGAACAAGAUUACAAGAGUGUUGCGCGCAAGCAAACAUUACCAUCGCUCGCUCUCGCUCUCGCUCUCGAGUCUCGUCAAACCUUGGAGGAAGAUUGCCUUGGACUGGGCACUGGACUUGCUGAAUUUCUCAACCUAAAGGCAACAAUCUUGCUGUCUAUU
rnacentral:lncRNA from 1 species